rnacentral:lncRNA from 1 species
UAAAAAUUGUGAAAAAAUUAUGACAGUGAUAGUCUGGUACUAAAUAGCGGUUGGUACGACUAACUUAUUUUCCUGACUACUAUAUGAUUUCGGGCUUUCCCCCCCCCCUGUUUAGAGGAAAGGUUGCGUGAUAAAAUAAAGAGAACGACUGAUUGUGAUUGAUCAUAUAUUUAUUACAUUGUUACUCAAGAAAACUGCUUCAUUUUUACUAUAGUGCCUUUGAUGUGGGAUUAAAUCAAUCGAUCAUCAAAACAGGCUGUUUUUUCAAAUGCUGAAGAAAGGUUUUUCAUUUUUCUACAAACAUGGAUAAUGUGUAUUGUGGAACUACUAGGCAAGUGUAAGUUUUAUUUUUACUCUCGGGCUUUCUGUAUAUAUAUAAAGGCAUGUUACAAUUAGGGAUGUGAAAAUUAUCAAAAUUCUCGGUGAUCUGUUUUUGUUUUUUUGGAAUUGGUAUUCUGAAGAAUGAUUUUUUUUUUCUUUAGCAGUUGUCAUUAUUAUUUAAUUCCAGACUAGUGAACAUCCUUUCUUAAAUAGAUUCAAUUAUAUUCUAACCCUGGCAGCAUAUUCGUGAGUGUUCAUAAAAGACGAAGCGUAACCCUGAGGAUUUGUUGCGGUUAUAAUUGUAUGUCCUUGUUGGACUCAGAGUAGAAUUGAGGAACGACAUGGGGUGAAAUAUAACAUUUUCUAUUACUUUUUUUGCAAUGUUUUGAGCAUAAGAAAAAAUACUCUCUUUUUUUUUAAUUAACACAAUAUUAGAAUGUAUACAUAACAUGAAUGAUAAAUAAAAUUUAAGUUUGAAAUGCAUUUAUUACUAAUUAAGAAUGAUGGAAAAAGAAUUUCAUUUGAUAAAACACACUUUUUAUUAAUAUUGUACUAAUAAAUAAUUAACUUACAAUUUCCUAGACAUAAUUCUAUAAAGGUUAUUGAACCUGAAAAAAAUGAAACAAAGGUGACACAGGUAAACUCCGGUAUUUCCAAUACGAAAAUGCAUGAAUACUUAUCUUUAAACACAUACUAACCCGAUAAUUCUUGCAAGUCAUCUUUUUUUUUAUAAUAGAGGCUAUUUUCUGAAGUUUUGCACCUGGUCAACGUUAUGAGAGAGAGGGCAAUCAAAGACCUCAUACGACCUUCUGACAGAGGGCAUGAAAGCCAGGAUGCUCGAGAUGUGCAAGAAAACCCUCACAGUUGAUCAAUUGCACAA